CCUACGGGUGGCUGCAGUGGGGAAUCUUGCACAAUGGGGGAAACCCUGAUGCAGCGACGCCGCGUGAGUGAUGAAGCCCUUCGGGGUGUAAAGCUCUUUCGGCCCGGACGAUAAUGACGGUACGGGAAGAAGAAGCUGCGGCUAACUACGUGCCAGCAGCCGCGGUAAUACGUAGGCAGCGAGCGUUGUUCGGAGUUACUGGGCGUAAAGCGUGCGUAGGCGGUGGUCCAAGUCUGGUGUGAAAUCUCCCGGCUCAACCGGGAGGGUGCGCCGGA
rnacentral:rRNA from 1 species